rnacentral:rRNA from 1 species
GAUGAACGCUGGCGGCGUGCCUAAUACAUGCAAGUCGAGCGAACAGAUAAGGAGCUUGCUCCUUUGACGUUAGCGGCGGACGGGUGAGUAACACGUGGGUAACCUAUCUAUAAGACUGGAAUAACUCCGGGAAACCGGGGCUAAUGCCGGAUAACAUGUUGAACCGCAUGGUUCUACAGUGAAAGGCGGCUUUGCUGUCACUUAUAGAUGGACCCGCGCCGUAUUAGCUAGUUGGUGAGGUAACGGCUCACCAAGGCAACGAUACGUAGCCGACCUGAGAGGGUGAUCGGCCACACUGGAACUGAGACACGGUCCAGACUCCUACGGGAGGCAGCAGUAGGGAAUCUUCCGCAAUGGGCGAAAGCCUGACGGAGCAACGCCGCGUGAGUGAUGAAGGUCUUCGGAUCGUAAAACUCUGUUAUUAGGGAAGAACAAAUGCGUAGGUAACUGUGCGCGUCUUGACGGUACCUAAUCAGAAAGCCACGGCUAACUACGUG